UCAAGCACUUGUUUAUCUGUGUAAGGCCAUUGUUCAUUUUCACAGGCUUCUCAUUUAUAAACCAUAAAGCAUUAAGAUUUCUUGAUUUAAUUCCUCCCUCCCCCAAGACAUGCACAACAUUGCUGUACCAGUGCACUAGACAAAUUAGGUCAGAGUGUAUCCUGAAAUUAAAUCAAAUGCACAAAUGGAAUACAUUAAACAUGUGCAGUAUUUCCAGUGGUGAAACCUUGCAGAAGCAUAAAGCCCUGCAAUUUGAUUUCAUAAGGAGAGCCAACCACAGUGAGAGAACCAGAGUGCUCAGGGAGAGAGCCACAGUGCUCAGUCGACAGUUCCGUUACCUACAUGCUGAGACUGUUCACACACGCUGGCUGGACUACUGUACGCAAGUAGAGCAGUGAUUGGACCAGGGCUCUGCCAGUCAAUGAACAAAUCCCCUCUGACUUCCUCUCCUCCUUUCCUGAUGCAGCAUGGGCUGAGAGGGAGGGGAGUUGAUCUGUCUUCACAGCCUGCCUCAGCUCAGCUCACCACCUGCCCUUGAGUUACUGUGAAUAGACAAGACAGAGAGGAAGUCGUUCUGUAGUCUGGCUCUUGUAAACCACAUCUCUGCUGUGUUUUUAUCCCUGGGCUGUUUAGAUUUUUUCCCCUCUCUGCUCUGGGGGUGGAGUGGAGCGUUUGUCCCUGGCUGGCGGAGCUCCGAUGGGAGGCAGCGCUGCCUCUGUCUGGGACUGGGGAUGCUGAACGGGGGAAGGGAGGGCCUGUUUCAACUGGGACAGCAGCUCCAGCAACAGGGGGAGUACCAGGCCGCCCUCCACUGCUUCCUUAGCUCUCUGCUGGGGUUAAGGCACGUGCAGAGCUUCACUUCGCUGCCCAACUGCCUUCACCAGAUUGCUGAACUCUUCAUCUCCGAAAAUAAUUACGGCAAGGCCCUGCAGUUCAUUCAGGCUGAGAAGAUGUUCUACGAGGUUUCUCUAAUUGAGCUCACUGCUGUUCAGGGGAGCACAGGCCCCCAGAAGGAGGCUUUGCUGGGCUCGUCUGGGACAGGAUGGGCAUCCCCAGAGGAGCUAUCGGAUCAGGCCUCCCAGGCACAGCAUUUUGAGCGGCUGGCCCAGCUUUGCAUCAUGAGUAAAAGACCUCAUCUCGCUUUAGAGUACAGUGGGAAAGCCACUAAGAUCCAUCAGAGGGCCUUUGGCAGCGACCACCCCGUCACAGACAAGAGUCUGGAGCUGCUGGCCACCGUCUACGCAGAAAUUGGCAAAACAGAAUACUCAGAUUCCCUAGGCCAGUGUGUGUCAGCGCUUUCCAAGAGGUUUGCUACUGCCGAGUCCUUCAGAGACACACUCAACAACGGUCUUUCCCAUUCCCAUUCCCACCGGGAUAAACGCUCUGAGGUCCGGCACAGGAAAGACCCCCGCCCACUGUUGGACACACCAAAACCCAAGGUCACCAACGGUAAAAUCCCCAUGUCCAUACUGAAGAGAUCUGGCUCAGGAUCAGACUCAGAGCCCAGCCACAGACGGAAAGGCGAGCGGCGGGUCCGGUUCAGGGAGCCUGAAACCACUGUGCAUGCCUAUGACACAUCACCGCCCAGCCCCCACCUGGCCCUGUUCACUUGCCUGUUCCUGCUGAUGUCACUGCUGGGCGUGGCCAUGUUCUGCACGGACCGCCGGCGCCCACAGCGUGUCUGUGAGGAGCUGGAGGCCUCGCUGGCUGUCUACCUGAUACACAUAAAACAGCUGCUGUGGGGCUGCUGGAUCUGGCUAACCAUGCAGUGA
rnacentral:lncRNA from 13 species